rnacentral:rRNA from 1 species
AACGAACGCUGGCGGCAUGCCUAACACAUGCAAGUCGAACGAGACCUUCGGGUCUAGUGGCGCACGGGUGCGUAACGCGUGGGAAUCUACCCUUGGGUUCGGAAUAACUCAGAGAAAUUUGAGCUAAUACCGGAUGAUGUCGCAAGACCAAAGAUUUAUCGCCCAAGGAUGAGCCCGCGUAGGAUUAGCUUGUUGGUGAGGUAAAAGCUCACCAAGGCGACGAUCCUUAGCUGGUCUGAGAGGAUGAUCAGCCACACUGGGACUGAGACACGGCCCAGACUCCUACGGGAGGCAGCAGUGGGGAAUAUUGGACAAUGGGCGAAAGCCUGAUCCAGCAAUGCCGCGUGAGUGAUGAAGGCCCUAGGGUUGUAAAGCUCUUUUACCAGGGAUGAUAAUGACAGUACCUGGAGAAUAAGCUCCGGCUAACUCCGUGCCAGCAGCCGC